AUUGAACGCUGGCGGCAGGCCUAACACAUGCAAGUCGAACGAGUGGCGGACGGGUGAGUAAUGUCUGGGAAACUGCCUGAUGGAGGGGGAUAACGACUGGAAACGGUAGCUAAUACCGCAUACCAUCGGAUGUGCCCAGAUGGGAUUAGCUAGUAGGUGGGGUAAAGGCUCACCUAGGCGACGAUCCCUAGCCGGUCUGAGAGGAUGACGGGCGAAACGGGAACUGAGACAGGGUCCAGACUCCUACGGGAGGCAGCAGUGGGGAAUAUUGCACAUUGGGCGAAAGCCGGAGGCAGCCAGGCCGCGUGUAGGAAGAAGGCCUUCGGGUGGUAAAGUACGUUCAGCGGGGAGGCGUUACCCGCAGAAGAAGCACCGGCUAACUCCGUGCCAGCAGCCGCGGUAAUAC
rnacentral:rRNA from 1 species